rnacentral:lncRNA from 1 species
AUAUCUCCCCAUCUAACCUUAUAUAACCCCAUCUAACCCUAUAUAUCUCCCCAUAUAACCCCAUAUAACCCCAUCUAACCCCAUAUUCCCCCCAUAUAACCCCAUAUUUCCCCCAUAUCAUCCCAUAUAACCCCGUAUACCCCUAUCUAACCCCAUGUAACCCUAUAUAUCUCCCCAUAUAUCCCCCAUCUAACCCCAUGUAACCCUAUGUAUCUCCCCAUAUAUCCCCCAUCUAACCCUAUAUAACCCCAUAUAACCCCGUAUUCCCCCCAUAUAAUCCCAUCUAACCCCAUAUAUCUCCCCAUAUAACCCCAUAUAUCCCCCAUCUAACCCCAUCUAACCCCAUCUAACCCCAUAUAACCCCAUAUAUCUCCCCAUAUAACCCCAUAUAUCCCCCAUAUAGACCCACAUAAUCUCGCAUAUUCCCCCCAUAUAACGCCCAUCUAACCCGGCCUGUCUAUCUGGGUACCCCCGGCAGCCUGGAGCUCGUCGCGGACGUUCCACAUUUGCAACGAUUUGGAGCAGAGGCCCGGCUCAGGGGUGGGGGGGGGAGCCCCGACUGCGUCUGGCUGUGGCACAACACGUGAUGAGGGAGCUCAGGGCACUGCUGGGGAGGAUGGAGGCCGGGAUGAUGGUUGGGGCCAUGCAGGAGCCUGAGCUGCAGCCCGGGAUGGAGCCGGAGCCGCAGCCUGGGAACGAGACGGAGCUGGAGACGGAGACUGAGGUGGGGGGGGGUCCUAAAUGGGGCCAUAAAUGGGGAUAUAGGGGUUCUGAAUGGGGUUGGAGUGGUCCUAAAUGGGGUUAGAGGGACCCUAAAUGGGGAUAUAGGGGUUCUAAAUGGGGUCACAGGGGUUCUAAUGGGGUUGGAGUGGCCUUAAAUGGGGUCAGGGUGGUUCUAAAUGGGGUUGGAGUGGCCCUAAAUGGGGAUAGAUGGGUUCUAAUGGGGUUGGAAUGGCCUUAAAUGGGGUCGGGGGGUUCUAAUGGGGUUGGAGGGACCCUAAAUGGGGAUAGAGUGGCCCUAAAUGGGGUCAAAAUGGCCCUAAAUGGGGAUAAAAUGGCCCUAAAUGGGGUCAAGGGACCCUAAAUGGGGAUAAAAUGGCCCUAAAUGGGGAUAAAAUGGCCCUAAAUAGGGUCAAAAUGGCC